AGUACAAGUAGAAACCCUAAUACAAAUGAUGUUCAUCCAUAGCCUUGCUUCAGCCUUGAAAUCAUUCAAUGAAAUAUCUUUUUUAGUUAUGUCCCAGGGGACUGCUUUUCUCAGACAUAGGAUGUUAGCCAUCUAAGACCAUUCUCAUAUCCCUUAGUAUGAAAUUGCCCCAUGUUAGUAUUUGGGAGCCUAUACACUG
rnacentral:lncRNA from 1 species